CCCCAUAUUACUAAUAUAUGCAAUCUUAAGAUUCGAUUUUAGCAAUAAAAUAGCUGGUAAAUAAUUUUUCCCAAAAAUGGUAUUUUUUCGAUAAUUUUCCCAGACUAUCAACAAAAUCCAAGAAACCGAAGCGCCAACCCAAAUUCUGAGCAGUCUCAACAUGAUAAGGUUAAUAUCCCCAAGAAUCGCUAUACUCUCCGGCUGUCAUGGCGGUGUCGAAAUGAAAUGGACCGAAAAAGUCGUGACGUAAUUUUCACGCGGGAAAUUUGACAAUGAUUCUAUGCACAAAUUAUGGCUGUCCGUAUUGUUACUGAACAUAAGGGUCAAAAUUAAAUCCUAUAUUUUUCUUUGCGAGUUUUUAGGUUGACUAACUCAGAUUUAACUAUUGAAAUAUAUUUAUAAUGAAAGUAAAUAAGCUUAUCUCAUGUUUGCAUGGAUGGAAUACAAUAAAAAAGCUGCUUAAAUUGAAAUAAGAGUAAAAUUAGUUGAAUAGUGGAACGUAUGUCGUAUUUUUAGUUUGUCAUUUGUCACAAAACAAACUGUUUACAAAUGUAAAUAUACACAAUAUACAGGUGAUACAGAUUGGACGUGUCAAAAAAUGUAUAAUAAUUAUAUAAUAAUAAGUAAUAAGCUAAAAAAUAAUUACAAUUACAUAAUAUAAAAUAUAUAGUGUGUUAACAUACACAACAUAAUCAUAGUCAAAAUACUUCCUUGUGGGGUGCCCAUAUCUAUGUAGUAUGGGCUGGAUAGUAUAUCAUUAAUUUUCACUAUUAUUUUCCUGUUUUUAAGAAAAGACAAACCAAUCAUUGAGGGGACCUCUAAUACCAAAUUUUUUGCUUGCUAACGAAUACCUGAUCAACUGUAUUGAAUGCCUUACUCAAGUCAAACAUCAAGGAUACAACAAAAUGACCCUCAUCCAUCCUAUCACUAAUAAAUUGAGUACACUCUACCAAGCUAGUUUCAGUAGAUGAUCCUUGGUCCUUGACGAAAACCAUGUUGAUUAUUACAGAUCAGUUUGAAACUUGAUAAGAAUAUUCCAACUCUACUACUUACAGUCUUUUCGAUUAUUUUAGAAAACAAGCUUAAUAAAGAUAUAGGACGAUAAUUAUUAUCCACUAAUAACACUAUGUCGACAUAGUGUAGUUUAUCUAAAUCAGCGGUUCUCAAACUUUUUGAGUCAUGUACCACCAAAUACUUUUUAUUAUUUUUAGUACCACCUAACUGAAAUACCUAUCUAGAUAGGUAAUGUAAUUAACUAUAAUAGUAGUGCUUAUUUUGACUGUUUUGCGUUUUGUGUACCACCUCAAAUAAUGAAAUGUACCACCAGUGGUACAUGUACCACAGAUUGAGAACCGCUGAUCUAAAUCAUUUUCUUAGAAUUAAAUUAUAUUCCUAGGCGCUAUUCUCUUGUAAUAGUUUCCCAUUUUACAUGCUAACUUUCAGUGACUACGUGCUGAAGCAACUGAUUUUUUUAUAUCAAGUAGGCCCUAGGUUCACGUCAGCUAGGCUUGUGGCUAUUUAACUUAUUUAGAGUUCUGCUUAUUAUUAAUCUGAAUAAUAUUAUUAAUCCUCCAUUACUCAUAUCAUUAUUCUUUUCUGGAUAUAUUUAACUUUGCUGUAUGCAUUACAAUCAUACUAUUACUACUUGUAAGUUCUAUUUGGUGAAGGGUUGUUAUUUGACCCAGGACUAAGUUGUACUCUCAGAGUUCACCCCGAUGCGUUCUGACAUUAGUUAUGUCUGUUGCUAUUAGAGUUUAUAUGUUUAAUUUAAGAAAGAACUAGGAUUUGACUUUAAAAUAAAAACUUCUUUUAUUAUUCAACAACAUUAAUUUUUUACCUUAUUUUACCUCAUUUCUAUCUUCUAUAUCUGUCAAAUAAGAACCUAAAGCUUAUUAUGAACAACAUUACAAAACAUACAGUUGAGUCCGCGAGUCUUUACCCGUGCGUCAUUAAUACCUGAAGAGAUAAAACACAUACUUUUUAUUUAGCAUCAUUCUCUUCCACACAUGAAACUCAUGACAAACCAGCUGCCGUUUGUUAUUAAGUAACAACACAUGUUAUUUUUAUGAACCAUCUAGACUCAGUUCAUUGAAAAGAGAUAGGUACAAAAAAAGACGAUUCGGUAUGUUUUCAUAUUUUAAGCACAAUUUGUUUGACGUUUCUGUUUUGUUUACUUUUGUGGCUGUCAGUCAGUUGAAUUUUUUGCGGUUUUUGUCGAAUUUUUGCGUUUUGAAGUUUCUUUAUAUUACACAAACAGUUGUUUUCACACCUAAUUUUAUAUUGGGCUUUGAAAUUUUAAGGUAAAUAAUUAUAUUUUGGCAAUUAAUAUUUAAAACAUACAAAGCUAACGUCAUUCACACAGUAAAGAAAUGAUUGUGUUUAGAUUUCCGUCAAAGUGAAUAAAAUAACAAAAAUAAAAUAUUUUAUUGAAUUUUUUUAUAAAUUGUUUAUUUAUUUAUAAAUCAAUAAUAAUAAAAGAAUUUAUUAAGCUACUUCAAAUGUAGCUGUAAUUCUGCACAAAAAUUUUGAAGCAAAACUUACAUUUGACAUUCUAUAUAUUUGAUAAAGUCAAAUUUUAUAAUAAAACCCGUAAUCGGAACAGUAGCCACUUUCUGUCAGUUGUUGUUGCGUGAAAUAGAUUUCCGACUUAUUUCGUAUGCUUUAAAUGAUGACGCACGGGUAAAGACUCGCGGACUCAACUGUAUUCCAAUACUCCCACCUUUUUUUUUGUUUUCCAAGUUGUUCAACCCAUAAACAAUAAAUAAAUAAAUAAACAAACCUUUUAAAUAAAAAAAAUAUAACAAAUGUCCACUUUAUUGCACUCUGGUUGUCUAUUAUAUAGAGUGGUAGGCAAUCUUGCAUUUUCAGAUCUAAUAGACAGUUUUGAAGCCACACCAAUUCUUUUGUUGCUUGUUAUGCAGCUACAAACUCAGAUUCGGUUGUUGAUAAAGAUACUGAGAUCUGUCUCUUGCUUGUCCAGUGUCCAAAACGUAGCCAGUGGUGGAACAAUGAGUUUCUUUAUCACCUGCACAAUCUGCGUCACUGUAAUUACGCAUGGUAAUUUAGUUGUAUUUGCCAUAACAAAUACCAUAAUUUAUUGUGCCUUUUAAGGCACAAAAUUCCCAACUGUCAUGAUAACUCAAAACAGUCUUAACGCACACAAAGCUGUCUCUAUUGCUAACUUUUUCUCAUAAAAUAACAAACCGUUGUCAAAUAAAAUAUGCUACUCUAUACUCGAUGCUAAAAUUCGUUUUCUGUGUUUCUUGUAUUGGGACCAGAUCAGUAUCGUUAUUCUUUAAUAGUCUGUAUAGAAUUUGACAUUUUGUUCUACUUAUACUUUUUAUUUUUAUUUGGCAAACUCUUACAUUGGGUCCUAUUUCUUUUGUAAUUUGUUGCUUGGAAAGUCCAUUCAUUAACUGUGUCAUCUUUAAUUAUUCUAAAAAAAACUGCGAUAUACUUAUGCCAGGAGAUCUUUCGAAAGAUUGUCUGGCGCCUCUUGUGCUAGUUCUUUAGUUUACCCUGGGUGUGCGUGUAGUAUUACCUGUUUAUGCGAACUAGCGUUACACCCCCCUUUAAAUGUAUAAAAUUAUGUAUAUAAAGGGUCACUAUGAAUAACAAUCAAUGUCAAUUUUGGCCAAAAUUAGGAUAUAUGCUCCAUGUUGUAGAGGUUGUCAGUUAGUUUCGAACUAUAAACAGUAACAGCAAGAAAAGAUUAAGGUUUGUGAGAAAAUAGAUAUAAGCCACCGCCUCAAUGUGACUUCAAACCUUAAAAUCAUGAUUUUACAGAAACUAUUAAAAAUGACUAUGAUCGUUUUUCGUAGUGACCCUUCAUGUGAAUAAGAUAUAAAUAGAAAUAUAUAUUUUAAACGAUUUUUUUUACAUUAAUGACAUAAUCGUGAUGUAAAACUUCUGUCAAUAUUGAAAAAAUAUUCUUCACUGUAACUUUAUCCAUUCCUAACAAUCAUCACUUGUAUAUUCCACUUUUUCUAGCUGUUUUCUCUAUGUAGACUGCAGUCUUAUUAUUUACAUUAUAUGCGCUGCUCGAAGAACCAUCAUGCCAAUUUUCUUUAGAGUUGCCAGCUUGUGCUCUGCCAUUCUUUCUGUAACCUUUUCUGUAGUUACUAAAACCACCUUACUAAACCCUACUCCUCUUUCACUUUGUCUCAUUUCAUUUCCCAAGUAGUAUAGUGAGAAUUUAUUUUUAUGAAUUUCUCCCCGACUCUUCCAUCUGAUUUGUAGUGUUAAUAUUUCACCAAUUUGUAAAAUAUAUACAAUUUUUAAUUCUGUAUGUAACAUUAUUUUAUUGUCUAUUAAUAUAAUAAAUGUUAGUUGUUGUCUGUAACAUUCUAAUGUUACAUAGUUUAUGUGAAUAAUGUUUGUACCAUAAUAAAUAUUUUAAAUUUAUAUAGAUAUCAAUAUCUCGCAUCAAUCUUUUUUUAUUAAAUCAUAAUGAAAGUAUUGUAUGUUUUAUCUUCUGCACAAACAAUCAAACAACCUUGUUGAAAUGAACAAAAACAACAAAAACGUUGUGGUUAGGUGUUAGGUUAAAAAUAUGCGUUUGCGUGUUCAAAAUGUAGAAAUGUACACAAAUAAGAGUGAAAUGUGACAAAUGAAAUGAUAGGAAUAGGAAAAACCCACAGAGAACACAAAAAGGAACGUGUCAAGUCCACAGAAAUUUAAUAUUUCUAUGAGUCCUAUGGGUAAACCAAACAACAAUCAACGACAUACGUUUGACACGGUUUUUAUUAACUUUUUAAAUUGAUAUCCAGUAAUAUUUCCAUAAAAGGAAAAUAUAGAAUUAAUUAAACAUAAAUAUAGAUCCUGAAAAAAAAUACUACAUCAGUUAAAUACUUCAGAAUAAGGCAGAAUUUUGAAAAAACAAUUUGUGAUGGUCUUAUGCCAUAUGGCAAUAAGGGUCAUAAUUAUAAUGGAAUGGAAUCAUAGCAGUGGGGGUGAAACGUCACACUUUUUCGGUCCAUUGCGACUGUCGAAAUGAAUUAGAAUCAGGGGCCUGUAAGAAGGAGUGGAAACGCAAUGCAUCGUUUGUGGGCUAAAGGGCUAUUUAUAAACUCACCGUCAACGUCGAACGGCAACAGCACCGUUAACGUCAAAAGAUGGUCUUAUGGGAAACUCAUGCUUCCAUUUAUAAACUUCGUUCGCCGUUGACGUUGACGGUAGGAAGAUUCAUCUUUUUUGGCCGUUAACGGCACGAUCACAGGACAUGAACAAUAAGCUGUAGCGUAGCAUCAUAAAAAAUAAAAACUGACAAGGUUUGUCAAAACAAACUAAAUAAUUAUUUGUUGUUUGUAAAUACAGAAAACAUUCUCAAGUUUUAAAAUACCUCUAAUAUUUAAUAUGGUAUUGGAGUACAGUCAAUUAUAUUUAUGGUAAUGCGAAUAUAGAGAUAUCUACUGAAAACAUUAGGGCAUAGAUCUUAUGCAAAAUUGCGAGUUCCUUUAUAGUCUAUAGCAUAAAGUCCAUAAAGAUUACAAAAAAGCGCAAGGAAACAAAGAUGCACCAUGAGAUGAAAUUACCAAAAGAAACAGUUAGUGGUAGUAAGAAUACAAAAAACGUUUUGGUAAAAUUUCAAUUUAUUCAUUGAUUUUAGUGGAUGUGAUCCUGAUCGUUUUAGAAAAGGAAAAAAUAAGUUUCAUGCUAGAAUUGAGGCAUCAGAAAGUAACUUACCCUCCUGCAAUCAACAGACACUUUUUUACUGAGCACCCUGGAUAUAAGGACCUUUUUACAACAUUCUUCCAAGUUUAGUGUCAGUCUAUAUAUUUGUGGUUUAUUAAUUCUUAUAAUUGUUUUAUAAGGGACAUUUAAGGCUACAAAGAUAAUUUAAAAAAUGAAGAAGGCAACAGAACAUCUUCCACUGUCUCUUAUGCACCUAUUGAAAUUAUAUUUGAGGAUGAACCUAUAUAUCAGACACAUCACAAGAUGUGCACACAUUUAUCUCCAGGAAAACCUAGUCUGUUAGUCAUUUUCUUUUAUGUUCAGUACUUAAAAGUGAGUUUUCAUUUCUUACAGUAUCAAUUAGGGCAUUACACUCAAAUUUAAUCACUGCUUCAUAAAAAAUGGUAAGUAGUCUUGUUUCUCAAACACUAUCUUAAAUAAUACAUUUUCUCAAUAUGUUCGUGCAUGCUUGAAGGCAUUGAAUCCUGAAGGUGCUGCUGAGAGAGCGUUCAAGUAUUAUGUAACGUGAUUUUAGACCCACCCUAUGUAAAGCACUGUAAUGGGUGUUUAACUAUUACGUAACCCAAUUUUUGACCUCCCGCAUAAUACUUGAUACGUAAUACUUGAACGGCCCUUGAGGCAAGGAAGCAGAUAUGUUCGCGUUUUUUCUUACAUUGUUAUUAAUUUAGUUUGUUGUUUUAAUGUUUUAUAGAUUACUUAGUUUGUUUAUUAAUAAUAAAUAAAACAAUUCAUUGUA
rnacentral:lncRNA from 1 species